AGAACGAACGCUGGCGGCAGGCUUAACACAUGCAAGUCGAGCGAGGACUUCGGUCCUAGCGGCGGACGGGUGAGUAACGCGUGGGAACGUGCCCCUUUCUUCGGAAUAGCCUCGGGAAACUGGGAGUAAUGCCGAAUACGUCCCGUAAGGGAGAAAGAUUUAUCGGAGAGGGAUCGGCCCGCGUUGGAUUAGGUAGUUGGUGGGGUAAUGGCCUACCAAGCCGACGAUCCAUAGCUGGUUUGAGAGGAUGAUCAGCCACACUGGGACUGAGACACGGCCCAGACUCCUACGGGAGGCAGCAGUGGGGAAUCUUGGACAAUGGGCGCAAGCCUGAUCCAGCCAUGCCGCGUGAGUGAAGAAGGCCUUAGGGUUGUAAAGCUCUUUUGCCAGGGACGAUAAUGACGGUACCUGGAGAAUAAGCCCCGGCAAACUUCGUGUCAGCAGCCGC
rnacentral:rRNA from 1 species